rnacentral:misc_RNA from 1 species
GAAAAGGGGAAAAAAUAAUAAAGAAAAAGAUUUAUCUUUUGGUUGAUCAGAAAAAUUUUCACAAUAUCGGAAUUGAAAUCUAAUUUCACCAAUAAUUUUGGGGCACAUCAAAUCAAAGUCUGCUUCGAUUAACGCAAAACCCUAGAGGGAAUUUAUCAAGAUGAUCCCAGUUUGCCCUUUUGCUGGAGCUUCCAGACCCGAUGAUGCAACUCUUAAUAAACCAUAUGACGAAAAUAAACAACAGGCUCAAGAGAGCAAGCCUAAAAAAGAAUCUGGAGAAGUUGCUACGGUGUCACCUAAAUGCCCCUUUGGAUAUGAUUCAACUCUUAAGAAACCUUGUGACGACCAAAAUAAACAACAGGAUGGCCAGGAGAGCAAGCCUAAAAAAGAAUCUGGAGAAGUUGCUACGGUGUCACCUAAAUGCCCCUUUGGAUAUGAUUCAACUCUUAAGAAACCUUGUGACGACCAAAAUAAACAACAG